rnacentral:lncRNA from 1 species
CCAAACUGUGCCGUGUGGUGAUAAAUCCCACCUGGGAAAGCUCCUCUGGGAAGAGCUGCUGAGUGUGAUUUCUGCCCUCAUGUAUACUUUGUGCUGGUGAGCACAGAGCUUCUCUCUUAAGGUUGACUUAGAGCACCCUGCAGCCCAGCACGCAGUUACUGGAGAAUGUGCUGAAGAAAACCAGACCGUGAGCUGGGGUUUCCCAGUCUGUCCCAAUCUGUGGCCACAGGAGCAGUGAGCUGAUUCCAGCACAGAUCUCUCUGGGAUUGUUUAUCUCUUGCUGAUGUGUCUGCAGUGCCUGAGGAGUAACAGAACUUUCUGCAUCUGAGAUCUGCUUGCCACAGAAGGUCCAGGUGCACCUCUUGCUUUCCUCACCACCGUAGGGAAGGUGUGACUUGCAUGGGAAAUCCUGUUUCACCCCGGGGAUGCGGGCAGACAGAGUUUGUCAUUGCCAGGGAGAAAACGUGGCUGCAUCUGAACCACCAGGAGGACAGACGGACACGUGUAUGCCAGCGGUCGGACAGAAAUUUCAAGCAACAGUUCUUGGAAACCAUAUGGGGAUCAGCCUGGGAGUUCUGCAAGGUAAGAGACCCACUGCGAUGCCAGGAUGGGCUUUGCUCCUGCUGAGCUUUGGUAUUAUCCUCUUGUAACAG